rnacentral:lncRNA from 1 species
GUAAUCUUUGCUUCACUUUUAUUUCCAUCUUGUUCGUUGUAGUGAGAAUCUUCAAUAUUGGCAAUUUUCUUUGCAGGAUGCUGAUAAGAUUGUGCGUUCCAUCCAAGACUUGUUCGCUUCCUGGGGGCAAGUCAAGACAUCUCGCCCUGCUCCAGCUGGUCGUCCUGCUACUUCUUCAGAGGAAGAUAUGAAGUUCCUCAAGCAGUCGAUAUUUGAGUACGUGUCCUUCAUGGAUAUGGACAUUGGUAAGGCUAGUGCUGCCAGACAUAAGGAUAAGCUUGAGCAUUUGAAUGCGAAGUUGGAGCAAGCACUGACACUUCCGUCGCUCAAUCUUUCUGCUGAUUUUAAAGCGACGUUGAAAGUUAUCCAUUCCGAGGUCCUCUCCUUGCUGGCCAAGAAUGUUGAACUGAAGGCCAAAAGUACUCAAUAUCUUCGCGCCGUAUCUGAAAAAGAGUCUUUGCGUCUGGAGAUCAACAAAGCUGAGGACGAGUUGAAAGAAAUCUCUUCCGAAGUCAUGAUUGAAGACUCUUUGAUGGCUAGUUUGGCUGCUCAGAUGAAGGAACUUCAAGCCAAAAUGGACGACUGCAAGGCGAGAAUGGCUGCUAAAAAGCGUAACGCCUCCC